rnacentral:rRNA from 1 species
GAUCAUGGCUCAGGAUGAACGCUGGCGGCGUGCUUGACACAUGCAAGUCGAACGAAGCACUUUAUUUGAUUUCCUUCGGGACUGAUUAUUUUGUGACUGAGUGGCGGACGGGUGAGUAACGCGUGGGUAACCUGCCUUGUACAGGGGGAUAACAGUUGGAAACGGCUGCUAAUACCGCAUAAGCGCACAGCAUCGCAUGAUGCAGUGUGAAAAACUCCGGUGGUAUAAGACGGACCCG